ensembl:lncRNA
CAGGGAAGGAACACCCAUUGAGUCUCAUUCUACAUUUUCACUUCGUUCAAAUGAACACUUUAUACUUUGCGGUUGUGGUAGUAGGAUUUAGUUACAUGUGAUGCAGGACGUGCUGCUUUUUUUGUGAUACACGUAGACAACAAACAAUGAUCUAUUGUUUUAAAGCAGGAAGAGGAUGUCAGUUUGUUCUCUGAGAGGAGAGAAACCCAAACACAUUCAGGGCAUUAUAAUGUGUUCUCCAGUCUGUUUAAUUAUGACAAUCAUCAAGGACAAAACAAAAAAAAACUCUUUCUGAAUAUUCCAAACAUUAGCAAUUAGUUUUAUCUCUAUGGUUCCUUCCAAAGAACAAUUGGAGACGUCGGAACCUUCUAGACUAUUGCUGCUGUUGUUCACAAAUAAGUCUUGGGACAUCAUGCCCGGUCAGAGUUACUUAUCCAAGCAUCCCACUGAGCCGUUUAUCAUCCCAAAUGCCAUCCUAUUCCCAUUAUAGUGCACUACUAUAAGGCUCUGGUCAAAAGAAGUGCACUGUACAUUGGAACCAGGGUGUCAAUUGGGAAACAGACACAGUCUUGCAGGAAUCACAUGUCUGGGACACAGAGGCUUGAGGACAGCAAUGGUUCAUCAGUCAUCACACCACAUGAUCAGAGGAAGAGACAGAAGUAUUACCAAGAGACCUGGGCUAGAGAUCUGGAUGGAAAGAGUUGCAGAGAAGAAGCCUGGCUUGUUACUAAGUUAUUGAUAAACUGGAUAUCCAACAGCUCCUUAAUAAUCUGAAUCUACUGCCUGCCGCCGUGUAGCCCCUGAUUCCUGGACAGAUAUUUCUGGCGUGCCUGGUAACCCGGGACAGCCAGAGGGUCCUUCUCGUUAAUAGCUGAUGUAAAGAAGGAGCUUUAUCCAAAACCAGGGGUCUGAAACCGGAGACGGGGAGCUGUUGGUUACCUUAUCCCCAGAGAGAUGAAUCUUCGUGGGCCAUCUGCCCACCCGGGGGCCCGUAGGGGCCAGGAUCCGUGCUGGAGAAGAUCAUGGGAACCGUCCUAUUGGGACGGACUCAUGUCUGAAGUGGAGGUGGUGCCCCGACAUACCGGUCUUACGGGAUGUAACCCUCCUCAGCAACAGAGUGCCAGAGAUGAAGGGAGCCACAGCCAGAAUCUAGACAGGUGUUUGCAGGAGUUGGAGAGAGUGCAGUGUCAGACCUAUUUUAAAGGAGGAAGCCCAGUUAGCAGUCCUGGCCAAGUGCAGUGUCAGACCUAUUUUAAAGGAGGAAGCCCAGUUAGCAGUCCUGGCCAAGUGCAGUGUCAGACCUAUUUUAAAGGAGGAAGCCCAGUUAGCAGUUCUGGCCAAGUGCAGUGUCAGACCUAUUUUAAAGGAGGAAGCCCAGUUAGCAGUCCUGGCCAAGUGUCGAAGGUAGAGCUUGUGCCUCCAUCUCCCCCUCAACAUACCCCUGCUCGUACCCCUCGGCCGCACAGCGCCAUCGAGGGAAGACGUCAGAUGAACGAGUGGCUGUAUGAGUUGGAGAAGAUGCAGAGUGGGGACUAUUUUGAAGGAAGCCCCACUGACAGCCCAGAGGUUGAGCCCCAUCCGAAGGUUCAUUUGGGUCGUACCCCUCGCCCGCAGAGCGCCAUCGAGGGAGGUAGCCAGAAUCUAGACAGGUGGUUACAGGAGCUGGAGAGGAUGGAGAACGGGAGAUAUUUCGGAAACCCUGACCGAGCGCAGAGAGAUCAAGUGCAGGCCCCUUUCUACGACGGGACAGCGUCGAUGCCAACCCUUCACAAGGAACCCGUUGGCUCUGGCCUGCAUUACCACUACCAGGGCCUCCCCUCGUCCCCAUCUCUCUGCAGCCGGGACAGGGACCUCUCCCCCUGUGGGACUCCCAGCCAGAGUGACAGUUCCCUGGGCAGCCAGGAGUCCCUCAGGGCAGGAUUGUCCUCUGCCCCGGACUACAACGGUAGCUGGGAAAGGGCUAUAAUCAAGCAGGCUCCAGGGAAGGAGGAGGCUAAACUCAGCUCUCUGACUCCGGUGAGAGUGGGCUGGCUGCCCAUCCAGAGAAGGGCCCUGUUGAGGGAUGCUCCAGGCCCUGGACCCAGACAUCCACACCCUCAGGUCAAUGUAGCCAGACAGGUGAGACUUAAACCGGCCAUUACCCCUACCUUCCAGAAGAAUCCUGUCAAGGGAAACGUGAUCAAACCUGUAGUAGAGGGAGAGGUGGAGAAAGUGGAGUGGAGUCAACCCAGCAUUAACCCUGUGGGGCUCAGAACGAGGUGGCUUCCUGACCAGGCUCCUUCCCCCAGGACUCAACACCAGGUCUCAGGCAAGGAAAGCUCAGUGCCAAUGGAGAGGGACAACAGGUCUUUAGGUUGGCAGGAUCAGAGGAGAAGUUGGGCUAGCAGGACAUCAUCACACCUCAGUGGUAGUGGGACUCCUACCCAGUCUAACAACUCCCUCCCCGGGGCUAACACUACCUCAGAGCCUGCCAGGAAGAGCCCUCUACACAGGACAACCAGCAACAACCAACAUUCUUCACACACUGAGGUUCCACCCUAUGGGACCAGCUCACAGUCUCCUGGAAUCCAACCUGGGGACGACUCAGACUCAGAACCCUGCUGGAGAUCUUCUCUACACAGGACCAAUAGCUUCCAAACGUCUUCUCCCUGGACGAUCAGGCCAAUAGUCCAAAAUAAUACUUCACACACUGAGAUAACCCCCUCUGGAACCAAAUGUGCACCGUACAGGAGCAACAACUCUCUAUGUAGGACAAACAGCGUCCAACAGAAACCCUCACACGCUGAGUUAACUCCUUAUAGAACCAGCUCAGAGCCUUACAGAGCAACCUCUCUACAAAAACGAACAAGUUGUCUUCCACAAACUUCUCCUGCUGGGGUAGUAUCACCCCCGGCCCCUGGGACCACUACAGGUGCUACCAUCGUCCUGAAGACAACUACACCAGCCUUCUCCUCCAUUACCAUCGCCACCAAGAAGAUCUCCAGGACGACAAGCCUCCGUGAGUCUAGACCUCUGAGCCCUGGAUCUAGAGCCCCCAGACCCCAGAGCUACCACUCUAAUGAGGCCAGGGUCCCAGGCUAUAAAGCCCCCAGGCCCCAGAGCUACCACUGUGAUGAGGCCAGGGUCCCAGGCUAUAAAACCCCCAGUCCCCAGAGCUACCACUGCGAAGAGGCCAGGGUCCCAGGCUAUAAAACCCCCAGGCCCCAGAGCUACCACUGCGACGAGGCCAGGGUCCCAGGCUAUAAAACCCCUAGGCCCCAGAGCUACCACUGCGACGAGGCCAGGGUCCCAGGCUAUAAACACCCCAGGCCCCAGAGCUACCACACAAACCAGGCCAGACUCUCCACCACCUGCACCUCUGUCACCCAGCAGGACCAGGUCCAUCACCACCACCCCACCGGCAACGACCCAGGCUCCACCCCUGUCACACUCAGGAGAAAGUCCACUGCCACCAUAGUCAAAGUGACCGAGCACAGAAGGAUGACCUCUGAACCUGUCAACCGACUGAAUGGAAGGCAGAGCCCUGUUUCAUCUGUGUCAGGUGACCAACCAAAUGAUCAGGGCACGGCGGUUCACAGGAGAAAAGCCACCGUCAUAAAAGUGACCGAACACAGAGAGAGCUACAGCCCAGGUCAGGAUGCCAGUGGUGUGAUCAGAAGCAGCAGUAGGCCGUCAGAGUACAGACACAGUUACACAGAGGGAGUGUACAGACACAAAUCCCCGUGGCAACAAUCCCCGUGGCAACAAGGAGCCAUGAAUUCAAACAUGAACUCUAUGGAAUCCCUCCAUAGUACCCCUCCCUCCCAGUACCUUCUAGAAUCAUCUAUGGACAGGAUAGACAGGCCCAACUCUGCUCUGUUCCUGACUCCAAACAAGUCCACCUCAACCACUACAGUUGCUCUGAGGGACCCAGAGGGAAGCAGAGGUGGAGGGAAGCCAAUACAGAAGUCUACCCUGAUGCUGUUCAUCAACCCCCCUUCUCCCUCUUCCAGAGAGACGUCCAUAGAGAAGGUUGGUGUAGAGAGAGGAGGCGAAGAGAGACGGGCUCGGGACAGAGCCAGGAGACCAGCGAGCUGCUAUGCUAAUGUGUUUGGCCACACUGACCCGACAGAGCCAUGCCCGGUCUCAGAGACUGUUACUGUUACACAAGCUGGACCCGGGAACUGGAGCCCAGAGACUGUUACUGUUACACAAGCUGGACCCGGGAACUGGAGCCCAGACUGUUACUGUUACACAAGCUGGACCCGGGAACUGGAGCCCAGAGACUGUUACUGUUA